GGCAACGACACACCCAAGCCCUAAUAGGAGACAGUGUUAUCCCUCACUACGAGUUCAAAUAAAUUAGAAAGACAACUUUCUUUCACUCAAAUUUUAUUUUGUUUGAUUAGUUGUGCAGCAACUAAGAACAACACUAUUCUACUCGUAGUUGAGCAUAACAGCAUCAGAGCCUGCUAGUGGACACGAUCCACUCAGUUUACUGAAGUCUCCUUCCCUUUUCUCCUGUUCUCUCCUGCUUUCUUUCCUCUUUACUCUUCACAUGCGUAGGGACCUGUAAGAACCAUCAAUCAAUUCUAUGUGAAUGAAAUACAUAAUCUUCUUUGACAAGGUUAUG